CCUCUUCCCUUCUAUUGUGGAAUGACUCAGCAAGAAGGUCCUGGGCUGAUGCAACCCUUCUGUUUGCACUUCUCAGCCUCCACAAUUGACCUCCAUCAUUAAACUCUGGUAGCUCAAGAGAGAGAGAGAGAUGCCAGAUGGAGGUAUAUACACUCACACUCCUGCCAUGAUGCCAUACAGCCAAGAGGGGCCUUGCCAGAGCUGAGCUGAUGCCAGGGCCAUGCUCUCGAACCUCCCAAACUGUGUGUGAGAUAAAUAAACUUCUUUUCUUUAUAAAGUU